AGAGAGAGACAUGCGCGCAUAUCAAUAAGCGGAGGAAAAGAAACUAACUAGGAUUCCCUCAGUAACGGCGAGUGAAGCGGGAAGAGCUCAAAUUUGAAAUCUUCAAGGUUUACCUUGACGAAUUGUAGUUUAAAGAAGUGUUUUCUGUUGGAGUUUUGGUAAAAGUUCUUUGGAAUAGGACAUCAUAGAGGGUGAGAAUCCCGUAUUUGACCAUUAUUUCCAGCUUUGUGAUACACUUUCAAAGAGUCGAAUUGUUUGGGAAUGCAGUCCAAAAUGGGUGGUAAAUUUCAUCUAAAGCUAAAUACUGGUGAGAGACCGAUAGCGAACAAGUACCGUGAGGGAAAGAUGAAAAGAACUUUGAAAAGAGAGUUAAACAGUACGUGAAAUUGUCAAAAGGGAAGCGUUUGACACCAGUGUUGUUUUCUCGAAAAUCAAUUAAAAAAGGCAGGAUUUUGUGUUGUAUUGACUUUAUCAGCUUUCUGCACUCUUUUCUUGUCUUUUUUAAUGCACUUUUCGUUUAACAAGUCAACAUCAAUUUCUUUUGUUGUAAAAGGGUCAUUGGAAGGUGGCUUUCUUUUCGGAGAAAGUGUUUAUAGCCUUUGGCCUCUGCAAUCGGAGAGAUUGAGGUCUGCAGCGUAGAUCCUUCGGGGUUAGAUACAUUUGUGCUAAGUUAUAGCCUUUCAUAGACAACUUGUUGACUAUGAUCAGUCAUGUAGCUUACUCGCUUAUGCUAUUUUACCUACGCUUAGGAUGUUGAUGUGAUACUGCGAGCA
rnacentral:rRNA from 1 species